rnacentral:lncRNA from 1 species
CACAGAAAAAGGUCUGUGGAAUGUUCUCUUACCUUCUAAAAUAUUAAUUUAGAGAACUUGCAAAUUUGCAGAUUUUCCCAGAAUGGAACUAACUGGAACUCUUCAUUUUACAGCUAUGGCUCACUGCCCCUCAGGGGGCAGGGGGCUGGUGAUUCCUGAGGGAGCCCUGCCCCCUUCCAGGGUGAAUUUUCCUAAGUCACCAUGGAGAACCAGCAGCCCAGAAUCAGUGCCCUGCCAGGCAGAAUUGCUUGGCCAUAACAAAGAUCCAUUGCCUUUCUGAUGACACCCAGCACCUCGGAUUCUGUAUACACGGGAGGUGAUUUAAGCAUCUUACUGCCACCCUGAAAUCUGGGGUCCUUUAUCCUGGCAGGGCUGGUCGUCCUUACAGGAUUUUCCCUUGUUCUCAGCAUCUAGACCCGUAACGCCCACUUCAGAAUGGGAGGGAGGAUGUCUGCUGCCCUGUCGUCUCCACACCCGAGGAAUGUCCGUGUGUGUGUGUGUGUGGUGUGCACAGCGGGCUGCACACAGCGGGCUCCACGGUGCUCGAAUGGAGGCCCUAAUGUGAAUGGAGACUAGCCUGCUGGUAGAGACCUUGGCAGUGACCGCUGUGGGCAAUGAGCCAUGGGCCAACAAUAUUCAAUGCUGUGUACCUGAUGGAUGGUUACUGUCUGAGACUGAGGCUUUUUGGGCCAGGAGUAAAAGGACUUGGUUUGUACUUGAUUGCGUCCUGUGGAUGCUUGCCUACCAACUGACUCAUCCUGACGUGCCAAAGGUCCUGGCUUUCCCCUGUGUGGGUAAGGGAAGAAGAGAGUUCUGACCCCUGAUUUAAUUAUUUACUGUGGAACCAUUGUCCUGAGUCAGGAGGAUAGAUGAGGAAAGAAUGAGAGCGUGGCUGGCAUCGCUUCAUGAUUACAUUCUGGGAAAGAUCUUGCCUGUUAACCUCUAGAGAAGGAGGGACGAUACAGACAAUGAAGACUAUAGCAGACUGAAUUACUCUCUGAGAUGAGGACUUUGCUAUUGCCAUUGCAGAACCACUGGUGGAAGUUGUUGUUAAACAGUGGGUCUUGCAUGCAAGCUCUACAGUUAUGCACAGUAUUUCCAUGACAUCCCAAGCCAUGAGGUUCAUGCUGCCAUAUCCCCCUGUUUAACAAGUGUGGAAACUGAUAAUGGACUCACAAUUGCUGAUGUAUAGGUUCUAAUGUUUUCUAUUGUGGACACGGGACACCCAGACUGAGAACCAAUGGCUCCAGUCUGAUUUAAACAUGGGUCCGUGCUCACACACUCAAUACCUACCCUCUGUGCUCACAAGUCCUGUGUGAGUAAGACUCCAAAUUAUUCUGUCUUGUUUUACUCAAUGGUAUGCUCUACCUUAUUAUAGAGUAUACCAUGUAUUGAGACAAGAAUGCCAGUCAUUCUGAGAAACAAAAUGCAACCAUUAGUUGUCAUUUUAAUUAGUGACGAAUAGUUGUGUCAAUCAUCAAACAUGCUUGUAUAAUUGGAUGAGAAGAGGUGUAACACGGGCCAAUGAUGACGAGGUUUCGGGAUUAUAAGUCACGGACGAUGACUACGUCACUAGAGGUCUGAGGUCCAUAGCAGAAGAUGCCUCAUGUGACCCUCUCAUGCAGGGGUUGCAUGUCAGGCAUGUGCAUACAGUAGAUAUUAGCCAUGCACUCU